GCCGGGGAACCUUACCGGGGGGGCGAUCAGCAUGAAAUGAGACGCCCAGAUUUGAAGGUCUUGCUUGGAUCAAAGCUGAGAGGAGGUGCAUUGGCCGUCCGCCAGUUCCGUGCCAGUGAGGUGUCCUGUUAAGUCAGGGCAACGAUCGAGACCCAGCACCCACUAAGUUGCUACUAAGGAAGUUUUCCAAGGGGCACUCUAGUGGGACUGCCGUCGAUAAGAUCGGAGGAAGGAUGCGGGCCACCGGCAGGUCAAGUAUGCCCCGAAUCCCCCGGGCUACACGCGAGCUGCAAUUGGCAAGGGACAAUGGGUUCCGACCUUGUGAAAGGAAGGCAAUCCCGAAACCCUGCCUCAAUUGGGAUCGAAGGCUGAAACUCGCCUUCGUGAACAUGGAUUAGCCUAUUAAUCGCGCGUCAUCAUUCGCGCGGUGAAUACUCCCCGCUCCUUGCACACAACCGCCCGUCGCUCCAUCCGAGUGGGGUUUGGGUGAGGCGUGGUCUUUUUGGCUGCGUCAAUCUGAUUCCGCAAGAGGGAGAAGUCGUAACCAGGUAAGCCUUAAUCCCGCGGGGAACGUCCUUUUUC
rnacentral:rRNA from 1 species